AGCUUUGGGCAGUGGCAGUAUCAUAGCCAAUGAGGUUUAUCCGAGGCAUGACUAUUGCUAAUUGAAAAGUUAGCAAAGAACGUUCCAUAAUGCUGAUCCUGUGGAAAAUAUCAUUGUAAUAUAAUCCAUGAA
ensembl:snRNA U4 U4 spliceosomal RNA